AUUGAACGCUGGCGGCAUGCUUUACACAUGCAAGUCGGGCGGCAGCGCGGGGGCAACCCUGGCGGCGAGCGGCGAACGGGUGAGUAACACAUCGGAACGUGCCCAAUCGUGGGGGAUAACGUAGCGAAAGCUACGCUAAUACCGCAUACGAUCUACGGAUGAAAGCGGGGGAUCGCAAGACCUCGCGCGAAUGGAGCGGCCGAUGGCAGAUUAGGUAGUUGGUGGGGUAAAGGCUCACCAAGCCGACGAUCUGUAGCUGGUCUGAGAGGACGACCAGCCACACUGGGACUGAGACACGGCCCAGACUCCUACGGGAGGCAGCAGUGGGGAAUUUUGGACAAUGGGCGCAAGCCUGAUCCAGCCAUUCCGCGUGCAGGAUGAA
rnacentral:rRNA from 1 species